rnacentral:rRNA from 1 species
GAUGAACGCUAGCGACAGGCCUAACACAUGCAAGUCGAGGGGCAGCACAGGUAGCAAUACUUGGUGGCGACCGGCGCACGGGUGAGUAACGCGUAUGCAACCUACCUGUAACAGGGGAAUAGCUCCCUGAAAGGGGAAUUAAAACCGCAUAAGACCACACUAUCGCAUGGUAGAGUGGUAAAAUAUUUAUAGGUUACAGAUGGGCAUGCGUGACAUUAGCCAGUUGGUGAGGUAACGGCUCACCAAAGCUACGAUGUCUAGGGGUUCUGAGAGGAAGGUCCCCCACACUGGUACUGAGACACGGACCAGACUCCUACGGGAGGCAGCAGUGAGGAAUAUUGGUCAAUGGGCGCAAGCCUGAACCAGCCAUGUCGCGUGCAGGACGACUGCCCUACGGGUUGUAAACUGCUUUUGUACGGGAAGAAAUAUAUCUACGAGUAGAUAUUUGCCGGUACCGUACGAAUAAGGAUCGGCUAACUCCGUGCCAGCAGCCGCGGUAAUACGGAGGAUCCGAGCGUUAUCCGGAUUUAUUGGGUUUAAAGGGUGCGUAGGCGGAAUGGUAAGUCAGUGGUGAAAUACUGCAGCUUAACUGUAGCAUUGCCAUUGAUACUGUCAUUCUUGAGUACAGUUGAGGUAGGCGGAAUGUGGUGUGUAGCGGUGAAAUGCUUAGAUAUACCACAGAACACCGAUUGCGAAGGCAGCUUACUAAACUGACACUGACGCUGAAGCACGAAAGCGUGGGGAUCAAACAGGAUUAGAUACCCUGGUAGUCCACGCCGUAAACGAUGAUUACUGGUUGUUUGCGAUACACAGCCAAGUGACUGAGCGAAAGCAUUAAGUAAUCCACCUGGGGAGUACGUCGGCAACGAUG